rnacentral:rRNA from 1 species
AAACCAGCACCUCAAGUGGUCAGGAUGAUUAUUGGGCCUAAAGCAUCCGUAGCCGGCUCUGUAAGUUUUCGGUUAAAUCUGUACGCUCAACGUACAGGCUGCUGGGAAUACUGCAGAGCUAGGGAGUGGGAGAGAUAGACGGUACUCGGGAGGAAGUGGUAAAAUGCUUUGAUCUCUCGAUGACCACCUGUGGCGAAGGCGGUCUAUCAGAACACGUCCGACGGUGAGGGAUGAAAGCUGGGGGAGCAAACCGGAUUAGAACCCCGGUAGUCC